UACGUAGGGGGCGAGCGUUGUCCGGAGUUACUGGGCGUAAAGCGCACGCAGGCGGUCUGCUAAGUUUGGAGUGACAGUUGGUGGCUCAACCACCAAAGUGCUUUGAAAACUGACAGACUUGAGGGCUUCAGAGGGACACGGAAUUCCGGGUCGAGUGGUGAAAUGCGUAGAGAUCCGGAGGAACACCAAAGGCGAAGGCAGUGUCCUGGGGAGUACCUGACGCUCAGGUGCGAAAGCCAGGGGAGCGAACGGG
rnacentral:rRNA from 1 species